rnacentral:misc_RNA from 1 species
AUGCGCGCCAGCUCGGAGCUGCUGCUCGACGCCAAGGUGCGCCAGCUGCUCGCCGAGCAGGAGGAGCGCCGGCUCAAGUUCCUCGAGCUGAGUCGCAUCAGCGCCGAGGCCGCCCAGCGCAAGAAGCUCAAGCCGAGGCGCACGUGCAAGCAGCGGCUCGUCUUCUACGCGACCUCGAGCCUGGCCCUGGCCGCGAUCUCGGGCGGCUGCGCCCUGCUGUUCCUGGUGCCGCUCUACGUGGACCCGGCCAUCAGCACGCUGAGCGCGGACUUCUUCCCCGAGCCGGUCCUGUGCACGACGACGAGGCGCGACGAGCUCUGGGGCCUGUUCAACUGCACGUGGUCGUCGUGCCGCGAGGGCUGCACCAGCGAGUACUACCGCUGCACCCACAUCUACGUGUCGUACACGCCCUGGUCGAACUACAGCGAGGACAGCGCCGAGGGCGAGCCCGACCCCGUGGACGGCGUGCUGCUGGUCAACAUCAAGGGCUGCGGCUACCCGCCGGCCGUCGACUGCGACAACUUCACGCGCCUCAUGGGCCAGGAGGGCUCGCAGUUCCCCUGCUACUACAGCCGGGUCAACGGCAGCGUCGUCAUGGCCGAGUACGAUCGGCAGGCCGAGGUCGACGUCAUACUGCACUACUUCGCGCUGCCGCUCGUCACGACCCUCGCCACCACGGCCCUGCUCUGCGUCAUGCACUGCGACUGCAGCUGCCAGCCGCCGCCCUCGAGGAGGUAUCGCAACAACAGGAGGGUGGCGUCCUCCGGCCAGCAGCAACCGCAUCAGCAGCAGGCCUCGAGGCCCGACGACCUUAGUGUGCACUCGAUCAGUACGCGAGUCGAGCGACGAAGCCGCCGACUUACGCACUUCGAGUGCGGUGAGGUCGUUUACCACAGGCCCUUAUGACGACGCGACGAGACGGCCGAGACGAUAUUGUCGACUACCUCUUGAGCCGUCUCCCUGUCUUUCUCUUUCUCUUUCUUUCUCUCCCAUUCUAUAACUUUUGCAUUUUGUACAUAUUUUUAUUUUAUUUUUCAAGCUCUGCGUCUUCUCUGGCAUUGUUGUACAAACGGCACGAGGAACAAUGGUCCAGCGGCGAACUUUAACACGACCUUUCGUGCUUUUGCGCCCCUCUCGCUAAUAGCUGUUUUAUUACUUGUAAGCUGAGAUGUAUUUUUGACUCUUGGAUGAGCAUAUCUUUUCAUUCUUGAGUGAAAAAAAGCUUCCUAUUUACGAGGAGUAAAAGGAAAGCGCACAAGCUUUUGUUUGCGUUUAUUAAGUAGCAAUUUAAAACCUUUCUUUUCAUUAUGCAAUACCUUAUAGCUGGCGCCUUUUAGACAAGCACUUUCUUUAUAUAUACUGGAGAUUUUGUAACAAUUUCUGAGAAGCUAACGUUUUAAACGGCUACUUGUCUAUGAGAAUAUAAUUGUCACCGUAAUAGUGGACGUGCGGUUAAAGCUCUUUUUAAAAUUUACAAAGCCAAACCCGAAUGGAACUGUUGUAAAAACUUUCAACGCAGGAGGAAAAUAUCCGAACGGAGCAUGUAAUUAUAAUGUUUUUAAAUGAGAGCACGUAAUUGGCCUUAUGAUCUUGUCUAGUUUCUAGCUUAUUUUUUUAUUUCAUACAAAUCUAUAGAUUUUUCUUUAUCCUCUUCUUCGGAAAGCAAUAGCUCCACGGCGCACUCCUGUGUCCCUUCUCUGCACUUAGAGACAUCGAUAACAGCUGAGGCUACUUUAAUUGGCCCGAUCUACUUGAGUCGUCCACUGAUCUGCAGCACUUGCUCUUCGACUCGUUUUCCGCUUAUUGAACACGGCACAAGUCAGUAUCCAUGCCAUGGACAGAAACUGCACGAGGACUCGUCGAGCAAACGACAUCGAGGAAAAAGCAUGUCGUCACAGAGCUGGAAUCGUGACGUCUUAUCGCCCAAUGGACUAAUUAGUGUGUAUUGCUUUGAGGAAAAUAAAACAAAAAAUAUAUAUUUUUACAUAGGGAAUAGAUUUUAAGUACAAUCAUGCUUUGUGCGGAGGGCACUCGUAUAUAAUAUACAGCUAUUUUCAUCGAUUUUCGCGUGAGCAACUAAGUUUUUAUAGAAAAAUCAAUUGAGUUAAAACCUGAAUGCAUGUAUUCAUGAUAUUAUUUAAUGGCCUACAAAUGAAAAAGAAACUUAUGUAGUAAUAUUUUACGGGAAUUUUGAAGAUGAAUUCAGAGUACGACUCGAAGUUAUUAUAAAUUAUUAAAAACUAAAAAUAUGUGAUGGAACUCCUAGUUCUCGUAACAAUAGAAUAAGAAAUAGGCUGUGAUUGUAAUUAGCUUCCUCGAUUUCAAUUUUUCCUCAUCGAAUGAUAAAAUAAUCUCUUGAAUUAUGUUUUUUUUCCUAUUUCCAUUAAAAGCUUAUGAUUAAUUUUGAAACAUAUCAAAAUAUGAAUACACUUACUAAAUGAAUUUUAUAGCCUCGACUAAAAUUGUAUAACAUUUUUAAUAUAAACAACAAAUACGAAUGAUACCACUUAUAUCAGAAAUUGUCGCCAUCUUUCAAUUUGAUACCAAUUUUAAAAAGCAAUAAUCGUGAUAGCUAUAAUAAUCAAGUAACAAUUGUAAAUACAAAUUCGUAGUUUCGAAAAAUUAUGUCAGCACUGCCAUGCUUAUACCCAAUUCGAAAACUAACGAAUGUAGCUUAAUUAUUUUUAAUAAAUAUAUAUUAAUACAUACCCGA